rnacentral:rRNA from 1 species
ACGCUCGACACCUACGGGAGUCAGCAGUAGGGAAUAUUGGGCAAUGGGGGAAACCCUGACCCAGCAACGCCGCGUGAGGGAAGAAGGUUUUCGGAUUGUAAACCUCUGUCCUAUGGGACGAAGGAAGUGACGGUACCAUAGGAGGAAGCUCCGGCUAACUACGUGCCCGCAGCCGCGGUAAUCUGAGCGGGCUGGCAAGGC